rnacentral:rRNA from 1 species
UGAUUUACAUUUGAGUGAGUGGCGAACUGGUGAGUAACACGUGGGAAACCUGCCCAGAAGCGGGGGAUAACACCUGGAAACAGAUGCUAAUACCGCAUAACAACUUGGACCGCAUGGUCCGAGCUUGAAAGAUGGCUUCGGCUAUCACUUUUGGAUGGUCCCGCGGCGUAUUAGCUAGAUGGUGGGGUAACGGCUCACCAUGGCAAUGAUACGUAGCCGACCUGAGAGGGUAAUCGGCCACAUUGGGACUGAGACACGGCCCAAACUCCUACGGGAGGCAGCAGUAGGGAAUCUUCCACAAUGGACGAAAGUCUGAUGGAGCAACGCCGCGUGAGUGAAGAAGGGUUUCGGCUCGUAAAACUCUGUU